UCAACCCACAUCAAACGUACAUACAUUUUCUAGAGACAACAAACAAACCUUUCGUGUUUCUGCAUCUAAUCUAGGGUUUCACCUUCAUCAAUUUCCCCCAAAUUUACAUCUAUAAUUCCAAAUCUAUAACUACCGAUCGUCUACCGUCAUCAUCUCCGUCACAGAUCUAACAAAUCUCGCCCUAAUUUUUGCUUUUUCAAACAACAAUUUUGUGCAUAAAUUGAUAAGAUGAAUAUUCAAUCAAUCGAACGGAAAAACUUGAUGAUUGUUCACCGAUCUGUAUGUAUAUGAAUCUGUAAACAACAACAACGACCGGAAUAAAUCGAAGAAGACGAGCGAUAAAUUUAUAAAUUAUCGGAAAAUUAUCAUAAUCGUCCGAUAAUUUAUUUUUAUUUUUACAUUUUUUAUUGAUUUUUUAAACAUUUUUGAAGGAAAAUGUAUAAAUCGGUGGUGGCUGUGUAUGACGGUGAAAGAAUGCUUGGUGAUGUUGAGGUUUAUUAUAAUCCUCAUCUGAUGAAUCUGAACAUGAGAGAGAAAUUGAAGGAUAAAAUCAGGAUAUCGUAUUAUUCUACACCGAGUGAGAGAUGCUCGCCACUUGCUGUUCUGCAUACAAUCACUUCACCGCCAGUUGGAGUUUGCUUGAAAUUGGAGUGCGUCAACAACAUCAAUUUGAACUCGCAACUGAGUGUUUUGCACUCUACUUGUCUCAGGGAGAAUAAGACUGCUGUUGUUUCACUUGGUGGGGAUGAACUACACUUGGUAGCCAUGCGUUCUAGAAGAAACGAAUUAUUACCAUGUUUUUGGGGAUUUAGUGUUGCACCGGGACUUUAUGAGUCAUGUCUUGUCAUGCUAAACCUAAGAUGUCUCGGCAUUGUUUUUGACCUUGAUGAAACUCUUAUAGUGGCCAAUACUUCAAGAUCAUUUGAGGAUAGAAUUGAAGCUUUACAAAGGAAAGUAAGCUGUGAGAUUGAUCCACAACGGAUUGCUGGUAUGCUUUCCGAGAUUAAACGUUAUCAAGAUGAUAGAAAUAUCUUAAAGCAAUAUGCAGAAAGUGAUCAAGUUGUUGAAAACGGCAAGAUAAUUAAAGCACAGUCCGAGGUUGUCCCUGCUCUGUCAGACAAUCAUCAAACCCUUGUUCGCCCACUUAUAAGAUUGCAGGAGAAAAACAUCAUUCUUACCCGUAUCAACCCACAGAUCCGCGAUACGAGUGUCCUUGUGCGAUUGAGACCUGCAUGGGAGGAUCUUAGAAGCUACUUGAUAGCAAGAGGACGAAAACGAUUUGAGGUUUACGUUUGUACAAUGGCUGAAAGAGAUUAUGCUUUGGAAAUGUGGAGGCUUCUUGAUCCAGAUUCAAAUUUAAUAACCGUAAAAGAGUUACUGAAUCGUAUCGUGUGUGUGAAAUCUGGUUUGAAGAAAUCACUUUUUAAUGUUUUCCAAGAUGGAAACUGUCAUCCUAAGAUGGCAUUAGUUAUUGAUGAUCGUUUGAAAGUGUGGGAUGAGAGAGAUCAGCCUCGUGUUCAUGUUGUUCCCGCCUUUGCUCCAUAUUAUGCUCCUCAAGCUGAAGCAAACAGUGCUGUUCCUAUCCUUUGUGUUGCUAGAAAUGUUGCUUGCAAUGUCAGAGGUGGUUUUUUCAAAGAGUUUGAUGAUGUUCUUCUGCAACGAAUCAAUGAAGUUGCACAUGAAGAUGAAAUCAAAGAUAUAUUGCCUCCAGAUGUGAGCAACUAUUUGAUUUCUGAGGAUGAUGCUUUGGCUUUAAAUGGGAACAAAGAAUCACUCGGUUUUGAUGGAAUGGCUGAUGUUGAAGUGGAAAGAAGAUUAAAGGAAGCUAUAGCCUCAUCAAAUAUAGCUCCGGCUAUUGCUUCAGCAAAUAUAGCUCCAGUGAUACCUAAACUUGAUUCGGUACUCAAGACAACUUUCCAGUACAAUACCACACCUGCAUCAAUGCCUAUUGUGCCUCCAGGUCCAAUCGUCCAAUACCCCAAUAAACAACUGACACCUGUACUCGAACCAUUAACUCAAGUGACCCAUCAAGAAACAAGCUUACACAGUUCACCUGCACGGGAAGAAGGUGAGGUGCCAGAAUCUGAGCUAGACCCUGACACAAGACGCAGACUUCUCAUUUUACAACACGGUAUGGACAUGAGAGAACCAACCACCACUGAACCACAACCACCUCAGUUUCCUGUAAGACCACCACCUCCAAUGCAAGUUUCUGCUCCUCGGGUUGAGCCACGUGGCGGUGGGUGGUUCCCAGUGGGUGAAGAAAUGGGCCCUAGACAGUUGAACCGGAUAGCACAACCUCCUAAAGAAUUUCCUUUACAUUCUGAAGCUAUGCAUAUUGAUAAAAAACACACUCUUAUGGCACCACCCUUUGUUCAUAAGGUGGAAGCUUCUGUACUGCCUGAGAGAAUUCUUGAAAAUCAGAGGCUUCCUAAGGAGGUUCUUCAGAGAGAUGAUAGCUUGAGGUUAAGCCAUUCACCUCCUGUUUACCCCUCGUUUCCAGGAGAGGGAAGUUCUAUGGGCCAAUCAUCAUCCAGCAACAGAGAUAUGGACAUUGAAACAGGUGGCAAUGAUACUUUUGCAGAAUCCCCUGCUGAAUAUCUACAUUUUAUCGCCUUCAAGUGCGGAGCCAAGGUGGAAUUCAGGCCGGCUCUUCUCCCUAGCAUUGAUCUGCAGUUUUCUUUUGAGUUCAUCAUCAAUCAUCAAGACCAUCAUCAAAGUCAUCAGAACUUCCAUCAACAUCAAUUGGAUAUUCAGCUUCGGAUUCAUCAACAUCGUCUUUUUCAGAAUCUUCAUCCACAAAAGCUCUUGGAGAAGAAGAGAGCAUUUGGGGUUUUUAAUUUUCAGAAAAGAUCGAGGGUCUGGUGGCUGAUUAGGGUUAAAAAGGAUAAGGAAACACAUCUUUAUCCAAUGGUUAAAAGGAAUGGUUUACAGUUGUAAAAAAAACUUAAAAAAUAACAUUAAAACAGAAAAGUGCGCCUGAUAGAAAAAAAGCCUGCGUUUUUACUCGUUGCGCCUUAUUCUGGGCGCGCGCCUGAGCACCGUUUUUACAAAAAAAGGCCCAUAUUUGCACCUAAGCUACCACCAGGCGCUAUAGGCUCGCCUCGCUGCGCCCGAGCGCCUAGGCGCGCGCCUUUUGCGCUUUUGACAACUAUGUUAAUGUGUAGUUAUGAGACAGUUCUUGAGUCUUUAAUUUUGGGUCAAACAAUUAACCGCCUUUUACAGGUUUGGUUUGCUGGAGAAAAGGUCGGCGAAGGAACUGGAAGGACCCGAAGGGAAGCUCAACAUCAAGCCGCUGAGUCAUCUCUUAUGAAUUUGGCAGAUAAGUAUUUAUCUCGUCAAAAAUCAGGAGACGAUGGAAGGUUUAUAAAUGACGGAAAUUCUUUCGGGAAUUUAAGGGAGGAAUCUAUGGCCUUUCCAACUUCUUCUGGACCAGCUAAGCUAGAGAUUCCAAGAAAAGGGUCAAUUGCUGCACUUAAUGAAUUAUGCAUGAUGGAAGGUUUGGCUUUGACUUUUCAACCUCAGCCUCAAGUCUCAACUAGUAUGGGCCAGAACAAUGAACUAUAUGCACAGGUUGAAAUAGAUGGGGAAGUGUGGGGUAAGGGAGUUGGGUUAACAUGGGACGAAGCUAAGAUGCAGGCUGCUGAAACUGCUUUUGUAAAUUUGAAAGCGAGAAUCGGGCAAUACCCUCAAAAACGUCAACCUUCUCCCAGAUCAUUUCAAGGAAUGCCAACGAAACGGUUUAGACCAGAGUACCCAAGAGUUUUGCAAAGAAUGCCUUCUUCCGCAAGAUACCCCAAGAACGCUUCACCCGUUCCUUAACAAAUCUCCUUCUUGGUACAGAUUUUCCAACAGUAUUAAUGGAUUCUUAACAACUUAACAACAAACUGCCUUACCAUGAUCGGUAUUUAAAUACCUGUUUGUGAAUGAAAUCCUCCGGACCAAGCCAAGACCGUUUGGUUGUAUAUGAAAUUCGAUACAAUGAUGUGGGGAAAAGCAAAUUGUAUCUGAUGGGCGGAAAACUGCCAGUAGCUCCACCAAUGUUGGAACGUAGGAUUGACAAUUGAAAUGGAAUCUUGAUUUGGGGUGAAUGGUGAACGGUGUUGCUUGAUGUUAUGAAGCGACCGUCGCGCCAAAGAUGAUUGCUGAAUUUAAGUUGAUGAUGAUGAUGAUGAUGAUGACUGUAACUUUGUAAUUUGCAGAAGCUGCCGUUGGAGGUCGAGGUUUUUUUUUUUCUUUUUUUGUUUACAUUUUUUUUGCUUUUGAUUAUUUAAGGCAUGCUUCCCAACGUAAAUCCUUUUAUUUUUUGGGAAGAAUAGAAUUUGUUUUGCAUUUUGCCUUUGUUCUUGCGUUUAUACAAGGGUGAGCAAAAUAUAUUUUGGUUCAAUUCUUUA